UAUAAAUGUAAAAUUUUAUAUUUUAUUAGUAUUAGUUAUUUUCUUGAAAAUAAAAAAUUUUGGCGGUAUUUUAGUCUAUUUAGAGGAACCUGUUCUAUAAUUGAUAAUCCACAAUUAAUUUUACUUUAUUUAAAAGUUUAUAUAUCGUCGUUUUUAAAAAUUUUAUAAGAAUAUAAUUUUUAAUAAAUUUAAUUUAAUUUUAAAUCAGAUCAAGGUGUAGUUUAUAAUAAAGUAGAAAUGGGUUACAAUAAAUUUAUUUAAUAAUGAAUUAGAAUUUGAAAAAGUUUUAUGAAGGUGGAUUUAAUAGUAAAAUGAAUUAAUUAAUUUAUUUGAUUUUAGCUCUAAAAUAUGU
rnacentral:rRNA from 1 species